rnacentral:rRNA from 1 species
CAGCCGCCGCGGUAAUACCAGCACCUCAAGUGGUCAGGAUGAUUAUUGGGCCUAAAGCAUCCGUAGCCUGCUUUGUAAGUUUUCGGUUAAAUCCAUACGCUUAACGUAUGGGCUGCCGGGAAUACUGCACGGCUAGGGAGUGGGAGAGGUAGACGGUACUCGGGAGGAAGUGGUAAAAUGCUUUGAUCUCUCGAUGACCACCUGUGGCGAAGGCGGUCUACCAGAACACGUCCGACGGUGAGGGAUGAAAGCUGGGGGAGCAAACCGGAUUAGAUACCCGGGUAGUCCCAGCUGUAAACUAUACAAACUAGGUGAUGCAUUGGCUUGAUGCCAAUGCAGUGCCUCAGGGAAGCCGUUAAGUUUGCCGCCUGGGAAGUACGUACGCAAGUAUGAAACUUAAAGGAAUUGGCGGGGGAACACCACAAGGGGUGAAGCCUGCGGUUCAAUUGGAGUCAACGCCAGAAAUCUUACCCGGAGAGACAGCAGAAUGAAGGUCAAGCUGAAGACUUUACCAGACAAGCUGAGAGGUGGUGCAUGGCCGUCGCCAGCUCGUGCCGUGAGAUGUCCUGUUAAGUCAGGUAACGAGCGAGAUCCCUGCCUCUAGUUGCCACCAUUACUCUCAGGAGUAGUGGGGCGAAUUAGCGGGACCGCCGUAGUUAAUACGGAGGAAGGAAGGGGCCACGGCAGGUCAGUAUGCCCCGAAACUCUGGGGCCACACGCGGGCUGCAAUGGUAACGACAAUGUGUUCCGAAUCCGAAAGGAGGAGGUAAUCCAGAAACGUUACCACAGUUAUGACUGAGGGCUGCAACUCGCCCUCACGAAUAUGGAAUCCCUAGUAACGGCGUGUCAUUAUCGCGCCGUGAAUACGUCCCUGCUCCUUGCACACACCGCCCGUCGUUUCAUUGAAGUUUGCUUUUAGCGAGGUGACGUCUAAUUGGCGUUAUCGAACUUGAGGUAAGUGACAAGGGAAAAGUCGUAACAAGGUAACCGUA